CUGUGAUACAGAAUGCCAGACAGAGCUUUCAUUGAGUGCAAGGAAGGCUAUGGAUGACCUAUGCAGAUAUGACAAGAUUCACAUUGUGUCUAAAGGAUGAUCUGGCUUCAUCCUCGUGUUCUGUCUUAGAGGUGAAAGUCCUUGCCUUGUCUAUCCUUUCAGCCAAAGUAUAACUCAUUUUUGGGUUUAAAAAAUACUAUCUGACUAGUAAAUGGCUUUUUGGUGUCUUCUCAGUUUCUGACUUUGGGUUUUCUAAAAGAAUGAAUUUAAGCCUUGCUGGUCAAGGGUCCCAUCCCAAGUGGAACUUAGCAGUAGUAGUCUCGUAUAUGUCGCCAUUGAAUUUGUGGCUGUCUGCUCACUGUUUUAUACAUCCAUGAAGAUUGCUUUCACUGUGGCUCUGUUUGCAGAACAGAGGAAAUCCAGGAUUUAAGACUCAUCCCUUCUACCUGCUCUUUUUACCAGAACAGUUGUCUUCAACAUGUAUCCUAAAUUGUUCAAGAUUGUCAGUGGAUUUCACUUUAGGUAGGAAAUUAAUAUGCUAUCACUGAUCUAUGCACAUUCCAUGCAAGUUCAAGUCACUCUAGCAGCCUUACUAAAGAGAUGUGUUAGUUCCAACCACUGAAACUUCAUGCUCAACUUUACCAACCGUUGUCCUAUUGCAGAAGCGCUGCAUCUGAAAGGAGACCCUCCAUGCUUAGGAAGCUAAGAUCUUAUUUGACUUAAGUUAAGUGAGAGGCGUAAUGGAAUAUUGCUUGGAGACACGUGCAUUGUGAAAGUGCUUAACAAACAUGAAAAGGAGAAAAAGCAAUUAUGAAUGACUGAAGUAUCAAGAAACAUAGUCUAUGGUUAUUCACUACCAUUUUUCAUUUUUCUCCUUUUAAAGGCUCUGCAAAUAAGUGGAAUGAUGUCUGUCCACUAUGAGUAAUAAAAGGAUAAACUUGCAUCUCUUUUUCAUCUGUGAAAGGAAUGUGAAAGGAAGGACAGUGCACAUGUGACUUUCAGUGACUGCAAAGACAAGUCUCCAGUCUCAAGCUUGUGUGCAGUAUUAGCUUUUGCAGCAUGUCCUGAAAAUUACUGCCAAGCAGACUCUUCUUCCUUUCUUUGGCUUACUCUGAUUUUCUUCUAGCUAUCUCUUUUUUUUUUUUUAAUAUAAUUCCA
ensembl:lncRNA